rnacentral:rRNA from 1 species
AGAGUUUGAUCAUGGCUCAGAACGAACGCUGGCGGCAUGCCUAAUACAUGCAAGUCGAACGAGAUCUUCGGAUCUAGUGGCGCACGGGUGCGUAACGCGUGGGAAUCUGCCCUUGGGUUCGGAAUAACUUCUGGAAACGGAAGCUAAUACCGGAUGAUGACGUAAGUCCAAAGAUUUAUCGCCCAAGGAUGAGCCCGCGU